GCUUAAACGCUAGCCCCACCUUCACUAAGGAUACCCUUUCACUAACCCACCUUACAUAAAACAUUUUAUAUGUCUAGUACAGGAGAUAGAAAAACAACUUGGAGCUAUAUAAAUAGUACCGUAAGGGAAAACUGAAAUAUUAAUGAAAUAACAGUCAUAAGCAUAAAAAAGUAGAGAUGUAACCUCGUACCUUUUGCAUCAUGGUUUAACUAGUUUAAUCAAGCAAAAAGAAUUUCAGUUUGUCUCCCCGAAACUAAGCGAGCUACUUCAAGGCAGCUUAAUGAGCCCACCCGUCUCUGUUGCAAAAGAGUGGGAUGACCUUCGAGUAGUGGUGAUAUACCUAACGAGCUUAAUGAUAGCUGGUUACUCAAGAAAAGGAUUUAAGUCCAACCUAAAAGACCAACAAUAAUAAUUAAUAACAACCUGCUUUUAGAGCUAUUCAAAUAAGGUACAGCCUAUUUGAAACAGGAUACAACCUCUUCUAACGGGUAAACUCUUAACAACUUCACUAAAAGUGGGCCUAAAAGCAGCCACCUUUAAGAUAGCGUCAAAGCUCACCCUAAUAAACUUAAAAAUCCUCAUCACAACCCCAAACCCUUCAAUAGUAUUGAGUACUUCUAUAUUAAUAUAGAAUUUUUUAUGUUAAAACUAGUAACAAGAAGAAGCCCUUCUCUUUAAUGCACUUAUAAAUCAGAAAGGACCCACCACUGAUAAUUAACGCUCAUGACCCCCUAAUAACAACCCCUUCUCCCGAAAAACUUAUUAAACGCGCCGUUAACCUAACACAAGAGCAUUCCAAGAAAGAUUAAAAGGAGAAGAAGGAACUCGGCAAAUAUUAACCUCGCCUGUUUACCAAAAACAUCGCCUCUUGAAAAACAUAAGAGGUCCAGCCUGCCCAGUGACUCUGUUCAACGGCCGCGGUAUCCUAACCGUGCGAAGGUAGCGUAAUCACUUGCCCUUUAAAUGAGGGCUAGUAUGAAUGGCAUCACGAAAGUUGUACUGUCUCCUUCCCCUAAUCAGUGAAACUAAUCUCCCCGUGAAGAAGCGGGGAUACUUCUAUAAGACGAGAAGACCCUAUGGAGCUUUAAACCAAGCAUCAACUGCCGCUAUAAACCUACAAUUCCAGAAAUAUAAUCUGUACGCUAGCAUAGUGUAAUGCUGGUUUUAGGUUGGGGUGACCACGGAGUAAAAACAAACCUCCGUGCUGAAUCAGGACCUCCUUAAGCAAUAAGCCACAACUUUAUGCAUCAACAAAUUGACAUAAUUGACCCAAUUCUUUGAUCAACGAACCAAGUUACCCUAGGGAUAACAGCGCAAUCCAUUUCAAGAGCCCCUAUCGACAAAUGGGUUUACGACCUCGAUGUUGGAUCAGGACAUCCUAGUGGUGCAGCCGCCACUAAAGGUUCGUUUGUUCAACGAUUAAAGUCCU
rnacentral:rRNA from 1 species